rnacentral:lncRNA from 13 species
GCACUAGCAGCAGUCGGUUGGUUAAGGAAGACGGCGGAAGGUUAUGGCGCGUCGCGGCGCAUUUCAACUCGCAUCCUCGUCGACCCGUAGGAGUUUUUGACGCGAGCGAUUGUUUCGAAAGUGUCGUGAAGCAGUGAAGUGUCGGGCAUUCGUGCCGGCAUCGCCAUUGGAAUCCCCGGCCAGGAUCUGAUUACAGCGAUAACGAAACAUUCGUACUUAGAUUCUUGUGAAGUCUGAUACUCAGAGCCUGAAAGAGGAAGAAGUGCCGGCGUCCGUCGUGUCGGAUGCAUGGUGCGAAGUCGUGUCGCGUUCAAUCGUGUUUCGCAUCUUCUCCGUUGUCUGGUAUCCUGAAUUUCCGACGCACGUGAAGGGUUUUGAGAGUUCCGAGAUCGAAAGAUCGCGCGUUCGUGCCAAGUUUGAAUCGAGACAAAUCAUAUAUUGUGAGGAGGAUCUUUGACGGACUCAAACAUUCGAGAGCUGCGGCCAAGACCAUCGAUGGAGGGCAAGCACGCUAGGCAAGUUAUAAACGUAACUGAGUAUGCAAUGGCAUUGCAAAGAUUGAAAGAAGCUUUGGAAAAGGAUAAAGUAGUUAUCAAACUUUCUUCAAUGGGAUACAAAUCUUCCGUGUUUUAUUAUGGAUUCUAGUGAACCAAUUAAAGCAUUUAAAUUUUAUAGAAGCAGAGUUAAAAGAAUUGCAAUUGUCACAAGAAGAGUGCGACUUGAAGAAUUAGUUGCAUAUUUGUUUCAUUAUUUUAUAGUGCGACUUGAAGAAUUAGUUGCAAAACUGGAAGAGACUUUGGCUUAAAAAGAUGAUGCGGAUCUUGAAGAAAUAACAAAAUAAACGAACGAACUUGAACAAGCGAGCUUGAAAUUGUUUGAAAUGGUGUAUAAAAGGAUGGCAGCAGAAAAAAAAGUCAAAAUCAAUCACAGCAAGAACCUGAUUGUGAAAGGAAGGAGGAGACAAAUUAAUUCUAUUUAGAUAACUCACGUUCUAUGAAGAAGAUAAACAAAUUCACAUUUGCAUACAUUUGUAUUAGCAUCUGUUGCUGUUCCAUAAGCUCAAAGAAACCAUUUAUUUUAGAAAAAAGAAAUUAAAUUUCGAUAUUUUGUGCGAUAGUAACAGAUUAAAAAUAAAGUAUUUAAACAUGAAAAAAGCUGUUUUCUUUGUCAUUUUUAGUGAUUAUAUAAUAAAUUUUGUGGUAUUUAUAUAAAGAUAUUACUUAUUAUUAUGUACAUAGUCGAACACUAGUAUAAUGUAACUUCAAUGUAAAAUGAUCAUUUUUUAUGCAGCAUAUAAAACAUGUGCAGAAUGUCAAAAUUCCGUUAUAAUAAUUAUUAUACAAUAAUUUGUACUAAAAAAUAAGAUGGAAUGAUUUGUUAACAAACUUAUUACUGUAGAAUGCUUCAUAGCAUGUUCAGUGAAUCAGUGUGAAAUGAGAAUAUAGAAUUGACAGAGUGAGAUGAGUGUUCCUGUGCAAAACAAACUUUGUAAACAGUACAUAAUACAUAGAAUUAUCAUAAAGAAUAUUGUCAUAAGAUAAAUAAUACGAUGAAAUUACU